AACUGCAGUUAAGGCAUGUAGGAAAUGAAAUAUUAUUCAUUAAAAAUGCAUGACUUGAGUUUUACAAUUGCUUUAGCAAUACAAACAGGUGAAAAAAUGGCGCGUCGUUUUGGAGCCAAUGUACAUACAUAAAGAACGAGAAGAAGAUUUUAACUUUUGCUAUCGCUUCCUAAUGACAAAGACAAACUUGAGUGCGCCUUACGUGCCAGAAGUACAGAAAAGGUAUCACAAGCUGCACUGAGUCUAUAUGUACAUAUAUUGGUUUAAAACAAAGACCGAAAAUAACUGGUCUACAUUAAACUCACUGUAACUUUUUCUAUCAUUAACCAUUUAUUUUUUACUUUUUGUAAUAUAUCAC